UUCCGUAGGUGAACCUGCGGAAGGAUCAUUAAUGAAACUUCAAAGUCGGCCCUGUUGUUGCUGGUGGUCAAACACAUGUGCACACUCGGUCGCAAAUCCACACACACCUGUGCAUCUAUGACUCGAGGUUGUAACGACCAAGAGUACUUUUUAUAUACACUCUGAAUGUAAYGGAAUGUCUUUUUGUGCUGUAAUAUGUACAACUAAAAACAACUUUCAACAACGGAUCUCUUGGCUCUCGCAUCGAUGAAGAACGCAGCGAAAUGCGAUAAGUAAUGUGAAUUGCAGAAUUCAGUGAAUCAUCGAAUCUUUGAACGCACCUUGCACCCUUUGGUAUUCCGAAGGGUACGCCCGUUUGAGUGUCAUUGUAAUCUCACUUCCACACCUUUAUUGUYGUGUUGGAAUGUGGACUUGGAUGUUGUGGUGUUACAACCACUCGUCUCAAAUGCUUGAGUGUACCCUGCUUUGCAGCGUAUCGGGUGUGAUAAACAUUUCACCAGAGUUGGUCGCAAGACCACGCUAUUGCUCAGUUUAAAGGCUCUAUGCUUCGAACCGUCUCUCUGAGACAAUCUCUGACAAUUUGACCUCAAAUCGGGUGGGACUACCCGCUGAACUUAAGCAUAUCAAUAAGCGGAGGAAAAGAAACUAACAAGGAUUCCCCUAGUAACGGCGAGUGAAGAGGGAAAAGCUCAAAUUUUGAAUCUGGUGUCUUUGACUCCCGAGUUGUAAUCUAGAGAAGUGUUUUCCGUGUCGGACCGUGUACAAGUUCCCUGGAACGGGAUGUCAUAGAGGGUGAGAAUCCCGUAUAUGCCACGGACUACCGAUGCUCUGUGAUACACUCUCAACGAGUCGAGUUGUUUGGGAAUGCAGCUCAAAAUGGGUGGUAAAUUCCAUCUAAAGCUAAAUAUUGGCGAGAGACCGAUAGCGAACAAGUACCGUGAGGGAAAGAUGAAAAGCACUUUGGAAAGAGAGUGAAACAGUACGUGAAAUUGUUGAAAGGGAAGCGUUUGAAGUCAGUCACAUCUGUUGGGAUUCAGCCUGGCUUUUGCCUGGUGUAUUUCCUUUCCGAUGGGUCAGCAUCAGUUUUGACCGAGGGAAAAAGACAUUUGGAAUGUGGCUGUCCUCGGGCAGUGUUAUAGCCUUGUGUUGUAUGUCUCGGUUGGGACUGAGGAUCGCAGCGCGCCAUAAAUGGCCGGGGGUCGCUCCUCUCGACACGCGCUUAGGAUGCUGGCAUAAUGGCUUUAAGCGACCCGUCUUG
rnacentral:rRNA from 1 species